rnacentral:lncRNA from 1 species
GCUCUCCAGGCUCCUGUUGGGGUAGUUUUCAGCACGGCAGUUGAUGUCCUGUGGGUUGAUGCACACUUCAAAUCCAGCGGCUCUGAUGCUUGCAAACGUCUCUAUGUCUCCAUCGUCACUACCUUGUCCUGGGGAGUCCACGUCAAACCACUGAGUCCAGGCACAGCGCUCAUGGCACCCACCAGUGGUGGUGGAGGUGCUGGCGGUACUGGUGGGUGAGGUGGACGCUGUUGGUGUGAUGGUGGUGGUGCCUUUUGUUUCAGGGGGAGAGGUCUUGAUGGUGCUGGCACUGCUGUUGGGUGUGAUGGGCUCCGUUGGUGUGGAAAUGACGGUGGUUGUGGGCUCUGUCCCAGGGGGAGAGGUCUUGAUGGUGCUGGCACUGCUGUUGGGUGUGAUGGGCUCUGUUGGUGUGGAAAUGAUGGUGGUUGUGGGCACUGUCACGGGGGUGGAGGUCUUGGCGCUGCUGGCACUGCUUGGGGCUGUGAAUGUGGUUGUGCUCUGUGCCAGGGAGGUGGGGGUCGUGCUGAUUACCGUGGUGCUGGUGGUGGUCGUCAGCGUUGACUGGGGAAGCGUAGAGGCGGUAGUGGCAGAUGCUGGAGUAGGUGUUGCCGCAGUGGACGUUUCGACCGGAAUGGACGUUGUGGAGGACGUUGUGGUCAUUUCUGCAGUGGUCGUGGGUCUGCUUUUACUGCUGGUGGGUGAGGUGGGCACUGUGGAUGUGCUGAGGAUGGUCGUGCCCGGUGUCGCAGGGACACUGGUCUUGAUCACAACCGUGGUGCCAGCACUGGUUGGCGUUGUCGGCUCGGGUAGUGUAGAGGAAGGGGUGGGUGUGAUGGUGGUGGUGCCUUUUGUUUCAGGGGGAGAGGUCUUGAUGGUGCUGGCACUGCUGUUGGGUGUGAUGGGCUCCGUUGGUGUGGAAAUGAUGGUGGUUGUGGGCUCUGUCCCAGGGGGAGAGGUCUUGAUGGUGCUGGCACUGCUGUUGGGUGUGAUGGGCUCUGUUGGUGUGGAAAUGAUGGUGGUUGUGGGCACUGUCACGGGGGUGGAGGUCUUGGCGCUGCUGGCACUGCUUGGGGCUGUGAAUGUGGUUGUGCUCUGUGCCAGGGAGGUGGGGGUCGUGCUGAUUACCGUGGUGCUGGUGGUGGUCGUCAGCGUUGACUGGGGAAGCGUAGAGGCGGUAGUGGGAGAUGCUGGAGUAGGUGUCGCCGCAGUGGACGUUUCGACCGGAAUGGACGUUGUGGAGGACGUUGUGGUCAUUUCUGCAGUGGUCGUGGGUCUGCUUUUACUGCUGGUGGGUGAGGUGGGCGCUGUGGAUGUGCUGAGGAUGGUCGUGCCCGGUGUCGCAGGGACACUGGUCUUGAUCACAACCGUGGUGCCAGCACUGGUUGGCGUUGUCGGCUCAGGGUAGUGUAGAGGAAGGGGUGGGUGUGAUGGUGGUGCUGCCUUUUGUUUCAGGGGGAGAGGUCUUUAUGGUGAUGGCACUGCUGGUAGGUGUGGUGAUGGUGGUGCUCGUGCCUUCUGUCAGAGGGACGGAGGUCUUGAUGGUGCUGGCACUGCUGUUGGGUGUGAUGGGCUGUGUUGGUGUGUUGAUGAUAGUGGUUGUGCCUAUUGUGACAGAGGGAUAUGUCUUGAUGGUGGUUGCUCUACUGCUAGUUGUGGUUGGUUCUUUUGGUGUGGUUGUGCUUUCUGAUAUAUUUGUGACUUUCGUUGUUAAUGUUGUUAUGUCCGAUUUUUGAGGUCCUGUUUUUCGUGUAGUUGUUGGUUGUGUUUUUGUUUGUAUUGUAAAUGGUGUUUCUAUAGCAGUAGUUGUUUGUAUUUCUGAACAUGGUUUAUAACUACAGCAUAGUAUUCUGAUAUUGUAGUUAUAGCAUUGCUUAGAUUUUUGGUCUUUGUUAUUGCAUAUCAAUCCUCUGGUUUGACUGCAUUCUACUAUUUGAUCAAGAUAUUUUAGUUCUUUAUCUGGGUGUUCUUCUGCUCUGCAUUGAACUCCACUUGGGUUUUUACAAACACUGUAUCCAUUGUUUUUUAGAUUUUCGUAAUUUUCAUAGUCUCCACUGUCCUCUCCGGUUUUAGGCUGUGUGCUAUCAUACCAUUCUGACCAUUCACAUACAUUCUUCACACAUACAGUUGUCACUGGUGUUGUGGUUGUGAUUUCUGUAAUUAAAAAGA